UCAGGAGAAAGCUGUGAUGCGGAUGGUUCUGAAGCAGAGGGGAGGCCGGUUGUGCCUGGGUUCUGUCACUGAGGGGACAGCCUCAAGUACACAGCUGGGACUGUCGAAGAACCGGUCACCCACAGUCCUCCCUGGGCUAUUUUCAACCCAGUGGCUUUUCACAGUCACUGGUGAUGCUGACAAGGGCAACCUACAGAGCAGGCCUGCUAGGACAAGGAAGCAUGAAAGCUGUGUUCUCCAGGGGUUGAUCAGACGGGAGCCGGGAACACACAGCGGGAUCCGCAUGAACAAACAGGGGAUCGCCUAUCGCCAGCCACGUGGCAUCCCCAGCUGCCUCCCAGGUGCAGCUAUGACGACCUCAAAGAUGGGUGGCCCUGGACUGCAGCUCCCAGAUCGGGGUGGGCCAGGUGGCCUGAAUGAAUUCGCAUCCUGAAAGGGCUGGAAAAGAAACCUCUGGGUGUCUGUUUUCAUGGCUUCAUUUUUGGAUUAAAAAUUCUCUCUGGCUCUGGAGACAUGAUUGGCAUUGAGGCAAAGCAAGCUCCUUUGGAAGGCCAUGAACGCCGGCGUAGUGCUUACUCCACUCCUUAUGCAUCAGUGAGUGGUAGCCUCUGAGCUGACUAAGAAGGUUCCAUUAAGUGAAAGCCGACGUUAAGUAAAGCAUCCAACGCAGGCAUAGACGGGCACAGCAAAGGAAGUGUGAACUGACAAAGAAAUGGAAUUAAGGGAAACAGUCUGGAUUCUUCCACUGUGUCAUGGUUGUUCAGUAGUAAAGAAGUUCCUGGAAAACAAAAAUACUGUAAAGCCACACACAUAAUCCAGUAAGAAAAAAUCAAAACGUAGAAAGUUUUU